rnacentral:rRNA from 1 species
GGAAGUAAAAAGUCGUAACAAGGUUUCCGUAGGUGAACCUGCGGAAGGAUCAUUACCUUUCAAUGCAGCAGAAUUGGGAUGGUUGAGUAUCUCGCCUCUCAGUUCUGCCUGUAUUCUACCCUUGUUUGUCAUAUACUAUUAUUUCCUCGGCAGGCUUGCCUGCCGAGUGAAACCAUUUAUAACCUUUUUAAUUUUCAAUCAGCGUCUGAAAAAAUUUAAUAAUUACAACUUUCAACAACGGAUCUCUUGGUUCUGGCAUCGAUGAAGAACGCAGCGAAAUGCGAUAAGUAGUGUGAAUUGCAGAAUUCAGUGAAUCAUCGAAUCUUUGAACGCACAUUGCGCCCCUUGGUAUUCCAUGGGGCAUGCCUGUUCGAGCGUCAUUUGUACCUUCAAGCUUUGCUUGGUGUUGGGUGUUUGUCCCGAGGGACUCGCCUUAAAGUAAUUGGCAGCCAGUGUUUGGUUUUGAAGCGCAGCACAAGUCGCGAUUCAAGGCUACACGCCCGCUUCCACAAGCCUUUUUUCACUUUUGACCUCGGAUCAGGUAGGGAUACCCGCUGAACUUAAGCAUAUCAAUAA